CAGUAGCCGCGGUAAUACGGAGGGAGCUAGCGUUAUUCGGAAUUACUGGGCGUAAAGCGCACGUAGGCGGCUUUGUAAGUAAGAGGUGAAAGCCCGGGGCUCAACCCCGGAAUUGCCUUUUAGACUGCAUCGCUUGAAUCAUGGAGAGGUCAGUGGAAUUCCGAGUGUAGAGGUGAAAUUCGUAGAUAUUCGGAAGAACACCAGUGGCGAAGGCGGCUGACUGGACAUGUAUUGACGCUGAGGUGCGAAAGCGUGGGGAGCAAACAGGAUUAGAUACCCCGGUAGUCCCUGUCUCUUAUAC
rnacentral:rRNA from 1 species